rnacentral:rRNA from 1 species
GAUUUCUGGCGUGGUGCCUUCCGUCCGCCGCUGUCAAGCGUGUGAGUACGGGGGUGUGCCUGCCAUCCUUCUAGGGAGUGCGUCUGCCCUUUACUGGGUCGGGCGUACAACCUGGAUCGUUUACUUUGAAAAAAUUAGAGUGUUUAAAGCAGGCUUUUGCUAUGAAUACAUUAGCAUGGAAUAAUAAUCUAGGACUUCGGUUCUAUUUUGUUGGUUUCUAUAACUGAAGUAAUGAUUGAUAGGGAUAGUUGGGGGUGCUAGUAUUGGCCGGCCAGAGGUGAAAUUCUUGGAUUCGGUCAAGACUAACUUAUGCGAAAGCAUU